CUACGGGAUGCACCAGUGGGGAAUCUUAGACAAUGGGGGAAACCCUGAUCUAGCCAUGCCGCGUGAGCGACGACGGCCCUAGGGUUGUAAAGCUCUUUCAGCAGGGAAGAUAAUGACGGUACCUGCAGAAGAAGUCCCGGCUAACUCCGUGCCAGCAGCCGCGGUAAUACGGAGGGGACUAGCGUUGUUCGGAAUUACUGGGCGUAAAGCGCGCGUAGGCGGAUUGUUAAGUCGGGGGUGAAAUCCCGGGGCUCAACCCCGGAACUGCCCUCGAUACUGGCAGUCCUGAGUUCGGGAGAGGUGAGUGGAAUUCCGGGUGUAGAGGUGAAAUUCGUAGAUAUUCGGAGGAACACCAGUGGCGAAGGCGGCUCACUGGCUCGAUACUGACGCUGAGGUGCGAAAGCGUGGGGAGCAAACAGGAUUAGAUACCCUUGUAGUC
rnacentral:rRNA from 1 species